ACCACUCAGGUGUUGUGGGAUUUUGAAGCCAGUAGAAAGGUACGCUCGCGAACUAAAAUCCCGCCACAAACUAGGGGCUGAUAUCAAACAACUCAAGGCGAAGAUCCAACAGAUAUCUGAAAACCGAACUGCAUAUGGCCUUGUUGACCUUGGCCAGAGCGCAUCAGACUCAACCAUGGAUGCUGAUCUACAGGAACGAAGAAGAAUAUCACCUAGGUACGGUGACAGUAUUGUCGUUGGCUUUCAGGAACAUA
rnacentral:misc_RNA from 1 species